rnacentral:lncRNA from 1 species
CGGGAGAGGGGAGCGGCACGGCCCGGCCCGGCCCGGCUCGGCUCGGCUCGGCUCGGCUCGGCCGGGCACGGCACGGCCCGGCUCGGCUCGGCUCGGCUCGGCCCGGCCCGGCUCGGCUCGGCACGGCACGGCACGGCCCGGCUCGGCUCGGCUCGGCCCGGCCCGGCUCGGCUCGGCUCGGCCCGGCCCGGCCCGGCUCGGCUCGGCACGGCACGGCCCGGCAUGGCCGGGCUAGGCUGGGCACGGUACGGCACAGCUCGGCGCGGCUGGGCUCGGCUGGGCUCGGCUUGGCUCAGCACGGCCUGGCACGGCUCGGCUCGGCACGAUUCGGCUCGGCAGGGCCGGGCUCGGCUCGGCUCGGCUCGGCUCGGCUCGGCUCGGCACGGCAGGGCUCGGCUCAUGUAAUCUCAUCUCAUCUCGGCUCGGCACGGCCGGGCUCGGCUCAUGUAAUCUCAUCUCAUCUCGGCUCGGCACGGCCGGGCUCGGCACGGCUCGGCUCGGGUGUGUCACCCCCUCCGCGAUUACGGUGACUGCCUGCAGGGCUGUGGGACUGAGGGAUGAUAAACCAGUUUUUUAACUUAGGUUGCCGUUACUUUUACCCCGCGUCAGCAGCGCGGUGUUGAACGUUCGUGUCUGGGAUAGCCCCGCCGAGCUGCUGCACAGACUCCCAGCACGUUCCAGCACCUCGGUGCCUGCCGAGCCGUUUCUGACUGGGACUAGUUCAAACUGUGCGGAGGAAAUGUAUUAUGCUUGGCUGGAAAAUCCCGAAAGUGUACAUAAGGAUGUCACCUUCGCUUCUCUGUGUGUCUGACAAGUGCCGCCUCGUGAGGAGGAGUGAAUUCAUCAGUAGGGACUGGAUGUUUGUGGAUGGUCCAUCUACCUCAUUUUGCCCAAAAGAAACAGCAGUGGUUCCUUGAGCAAGAACCAAGAGAAGCUUUUUCUGUUCAAGAGGAAAUGCCCUGGGCUUGGGACAUGGACAGCAUCGGAGGAUGGUAGUGUUGGGGGUCUUCUUCGAUGAAGGCUCAAGGUCUUCCUUGCAUCUGAACUUCUCAACUUUGUCUUCAGAGCAUGUGCAGCUAUGGUGUUCCUUGGUCUUUCUGGAUACCCUGUUCUGCGUCAGUGUACACUGGAUUCCAUACAGAGUGUUGCUAAGCUCUCCUCAAAUUUUGCUCAGAACGAUCCAUCCAGGCCUGAGAACCAAAAACACCCUCUGCCUCAGGCUGUGCAAAGUAUAUACAGAAGUGAAUCAGGGAGGGGAGAGCAAACUGGGGGUAUCUGACUUCGUUACCUGAAGCUGUAAUUGGACAAUUAACCCCUGAUAUGCAAAUAGACCAAACUUAGGUCUGUCUGAAAAACUCAUGACCACCGUCCAUCUUAGGUGUAGUCUGUGCGAGGCUUUUGACUGCCCAGGGUGCAUAUAUUGAAGGCCUUUAAUAAAUAUUCACUUUAUUAUCUUAAUUCUGUCUA